CCAUCUUUGCUUGGCUGUUGUGCCUAACCUCUCGACUUUGCAAAAGUAUAACUUAGUCCUUUACAUUUAAAAUUAAAAUGUAUUAGUGUAUAAUCGUAUCAAUAUUAUAUUAGUAGCCUAAGAUUUAUGUUGUUAGGUAGUUUACCUUCAUUUUUUAGUUUUCUUUCACCAAAGAAUAUCGUUAUUGAAGAGGCUGUCUCCCAAACCAAGAAGCUGUUUUUCAACCAGUUUCCAGAGGCCAAAGAAAAAGACAUCAUGACGGUGAUAAAAGAUUGGCUAAGACCGUCAAGAAAUCAAAUUGUUAGCAAGUAGGAAGCAAGGAGAGAAACGACUGAGGAGGACGAAGACUGCAUCCCAUAAAUGGCUCAUGGACUCAAUCUUUAGAUAAUCUUUAUGUAUUUAAAAUUCAUUAUCAUUUAUAAGUGCAAAGAUCUAAUGUAAUAUUUUUAAAUACAUACAUGUUGGAGUGUAAUGCUGACUAUUGAUUAAGG